rnacentral:rRNA from 1 species
GUCCACGCCGUAAACGUUGGGCACUAGGUGUGGCGACCCGACCAACGGUUGCCGUGCCGAAGCUAACGCAUUAAGUGCCCCGCCUGGGGAGUACGGCCGCAAGGCUAAAACUCAAAGGAAUUGACGGGUCCCCGCACAAGCGGCGGAGCAUGCGGCUUAAUUCGAUGAAACCCGAAGAACCUUACCUGGGUUUGACAUUAUGGGAAAAGCCGUAGAAAUACGGUGUCCGAAAGGGUCCAUAACAGGUGGUGCAUGGCUGUCGU